CGUGUUGCACUCUCCUUUCCGUUGACGACUCACUAUUCCUCGUCUCAGUUAAAUCUCUAUUUUGACUUUGAAGCUACUCUUUUAAAAACGGAAACGAUGCUGCCAUCAAACACACAGAAUCCUCGUGAUUUGUCCGAUUCGUCAGACGACAUUACGUCAUCGGAAUCUUCUGAAGAAGACACGAGUUAUGAUGAAAGAUUUACAUGGUGGGAAGGAUACAACCCACAAAAGCAAUUCUACAAAUGAAGAUCGGAGAUCAAUAUCAAGUGGUAUCAAAAUAAUGAUCUGUCUUAAGCUCGCUGAAAAUGUAACAAUAUUAUUUAUAACUAUUUUCCUGAUGAUUCUGUUCAUAAUUAGGUAUUUAUAUAUGACUUUUAUAUUUUGGAACUAUAUUAACUCAUAAUACACUAUUGGAGGUGCCAUGUUUUUUUUACAAUAAAAAAUUAUCAUCAAUUCCUUUGUUUUCAAAUAUUAUCAGAUCGGCGAUUUGUCUGAAGCUUGUUGAAAAUGUAACAAUAUGGUUUGCAACUAUUUACUUGAUUAUUCUGUCCAUGAUUAGGUAAUUAUAAAUGACUUUAAAACUGGAUUGACUCAAAAUGUAUUAUUGUAGGUGCUAUCAAUUUUUUUGUGAUAAAGGUUAUCAUCAUUUAAUUACCUUCACUGAGGGUCAUUCAUGAAAGGGACAGUGCUUUAAAUUAAAUUUUGUCAAUUUCUGAGAAUCUGAUUAAAUAUUUUUUUCUUUCUAAUCAUGAUCCUAAUCAAUCGAUGACUCGCGGCCAAAAUUAGAAUUCAAAGCAUGGAUUAAUAAUUUCAUAUCUUAAUGCGAGAAAAAGUAUUCAUUCUAUUUUAAUUAUUUAAUCGUGAA